GUAGGUGGCAAGCGUUGUCCAGAAUUAUUGGGCGUAAAGCGCGCGCAGGCGGUUCUUUAAGUCUGAUGUGAAAGCCCACGGCUCAACCGUGGAGGGUCAUUGGAAACUGGAGAACUUGAGUACAGAAGAGGAAAGCGGAAUUCCACGUGUAGCGGUGAAAUGCGUAGAGAUGUGGAGGAACACCAGUGGCGAAGGCGGCUUUCUGGUCUGUAACUGACGCUGAGGCGCGAAAGCGUGGGGGGGAGCAAACAGGAUUAGAUACCCUGGUAGUCCACGCCGUAAACGAUGAGUGCUAAGUGUUAGGGGGUUUCCGCCCCCCCCUUAGUGCUGCAGCUAACGCAUUAAGCACUCCGCCUGGGAGUACGGCCGCAAGGCUG
rnacentral:rRNA from 1 species